rnacentral:rRNA from 1 species
UAAGUCCUACGGGACGCAGCAGUGGGGAAUAUUGGGCAAUGGAGGCAACUCUGACCCAGCAAUGCCGCGUGAGUGAUGAAGGUAAUUUUAUUGUAAAGCUCUUUUCUUUGGAACGAAUAAAUGACGGUACCAAAGGAGUAAGCCCCGGCUAACUACGUGCCAGCAGCCGCGGUAAUACGUAGGGGGCAAGCGUUGUUCGGAAUGACUGGGCGUAAAGGGUGUGUAGGAGGUUUGAUAAGUUAGAUGUGUAAUACCCAGGACUUAACUCGGGUGCUGCAUCUAAAACUGUUAGACUUGAGUACUGG